GCGCACCGCUCCGCUGCCGGGGCCACAGCGAAGCCUCUGGGGCCAAUUUGGCGGCGCUGCUCGGGCGGAGGCUCCUUUCCCCGCUCCGCUUGGAACAAGUGCAUCCCCGACACAUCUGCAAUGCUCUCACAGCGCGGAAACCCCGCCAGCUUGGAGAGCGCUGCUACACGAACGCAUGCAGGGCUACGGGGGAACGGGAACUAAAUUAACAGCAUCUGUAAAUACCAAGGACUGCACGGAGAGGGCUGCAGCCACCACGUACCACAUGGCUGGAGAAACGGCCAAAGCCCGUCCCUACCGCACAGCUCUUCGCCACCACCAAACGCGGCCCCCAACCUACGGAGACGUUCUCAAACCCGUAAGAGAACGGCCCCCUUUGCCAGCUCGGUCGUCUCGUGUACUUGGAAUAGUUUUUGCAACUGCGUAUCUCUGAAUGCCGCGCGUUUCAUCGUCUCGUAGAGAUGCCUGGAUAAAGUCAGAGACAGGAAAAUAGAAAGGAAGAGAGCUUAAAAGCCCAAGGAAAGGAAGAGCAGACCUGAGAAAAGCCAAGCAUGCUGUGCUGUGCCUAAGAAUAACCACAAAAGCCUUUUCUCUUUCUCCCUCUCUGAAACGGGAGGCACAUCCUCUCCACAUCAUGCUACAUGCUCAGUGACUUACCAGCUUCGGCAUUUAUAGGCCUAAAGCUCAGUUUCAAGUAAUUCCCCUGAGUGCUCAACUGCAGGCAGCUUCGUAACCCUAAAUUUAGGAUUAGACCCUUCUUCUUAAGUAUUGUAUUCGCUUAGAGUCCUGCGCACAAAAUGUCUCUUCUUGUGGAGUUACAUUAUCAGACACCAAACUGGCUCCGAUUCCAGCGCUGAAUAUGUAAAAAAGAAAAAAGCGCGAUGCUGGACUCAAUUAGCUGUUUUCUGCUCACUGAUUGAUUCCCCCAGUUACUCGCUAGCUGCAUAACUUGCAAGAAAGGCAUAAGUCAUCAGCUCUAAGCAAAUCUUCUAUUCACCACAAGGAAAAAAGGGAGUGUUGUACAUGGCAAACAAUCCCUGUUUUCACUGACGAAGGCUUGCUGACCUCUUGCUGGCCUCCAGUUCCUUAAUUACUGUCUAUGGAAUUUCAGUGAAAGAAAAAAAAUACAGAGAAUCUCUGCAAAGCCAGGACGAAGACUGACCCUCAAACACUACUGCUAGGGUGGAGGCUGUGUCUAUAGGAAAUGUAACUUAAGCCCUUUACCAGACUCUUUUUAUCUUCAAUUUUUAAUUCUUUUGAUGAAAAGCCUCCCCCCACCCUGAGAAUUCCCCUUUAUAAAUGGCUAAUUUGACAGAAAAAUAAACUUUGCUUCAAUGUUUUUUAAA